UUUUCCGUCAUAAUUUUUAUCGAACAAUGCAGAUUAUAUUUCUAAUCUAGUUUAUAUACAAAUUGAAUAUUUAUUUUAUGCUUCUCUAUUGAUAUAUAACACAAUAAAAAAGUAACUAUGACCGUAUAAUAUGCAGCUUUUUCAGAAAUACAUUUAAUGACUCAAAUUGUUUAAAGUAUAAUUCUUCCCAUCAUUUAAAACAUUUUUCCAGCUGGAACAACAUAUCUAACGGAUAAUUAUCUUUUAGUCGACGAUAAGAACUGGCACUAUUUGGUAUAUAUAUAGAAUUUCAAAUUAGAUAUGUUCUAAAAAUAUUUUUUUAAUUAUUCAAAUACCGGUUUCACUCUUUCACUUCACGAGUACUAUUCCCAAAUCAAAAUCGCAGAGCCAACAAAUUCUUUUCUGAAAUAAGGUCCAAAUAUUUUCCCGCGUCUCUCUUCCCUGCUUCCCAAAGUCAAUACGGAUAGGAAGAUUCAAUUUUUGCUUCACUAUUUAAAAACAGCAAAAGUGUCACCAAUCAAGAUCAGUUAAAAUCUUCUCCCACUUUUAAUCAUGAAAGAAACCAUAAUAUUCAAAUUAAAUGUACCAAUCAUUUGAAAUGAGAUAAUGAUACUAGCAGUAUCAAAGAAGUAUUUUGACUCCUUGGCGAUAUUAAGUGAAUUUUUGCAAACAUCGCAGGUAUAUCUAAGCUUAUACCCUAGCUUAAGGCUUUAAAUGACCCUAGAUAUAAACUAUUAAUUCACAUCAGCUCUCUGGAAAACAGCUCAACCGCCUCCAAAUAAUUUUUUUUUCCAUCUUAAGCCCCGUUCCAACGACACGAGAUUCUUCAGACGGGGCACGCUUUCCCCCUUGAUCCUCUCUUGCGGUUUUCUGGGGUUCUUUGAUGCCUGUGUAGUUUACUGUGUAAUUAUUACUUGUUGCCUGUGUGGUUAUUCUUAUUUUCUGUGUUCAAACUUUUGACUUCUUCACUACUUGAAUUUUCUUUUGUGCAGCACUCCCCCCCCCUUCCCUACUAAAUGGAAACACUUAUAAUAACGACGACAUUCUGGAACCCCCGAGGGCUACUAGCUCUUUUCAAAGUUUAUGAGGAAAGCCAAAAGGUGGGGAAAGGAGGAUGAGCAGACAAAGUCGACAGCCAUCUGAGCCUUAACCAACUGAGCUGAAUACAUCAAUCUUAAAUCCAGCAAAUGUAGUAACAAAUGCCUUUAUAAUGAAUGGAGCUAAAUGCGAAACGUCCACAUCUGUUACAAAGGGGAAAACAGUGACGUACUCUCACAUUUAAAAAGUAAAAUUGUUAGUGAAUGCGAGAAGUUCAUCAGUUCAAACUUGGACAGUUGUUAUCUAUGAAGAAAAACAAAAUGUUUUCAUGCAUUUAUAUGACGCGAAGUGAAAGAGAUAACCAGAGGAUUUUGGAAAUGAUGAGUGACUUACUUCUUUUAAAAAGUUAACCAGUCUAUUUUAAAAGUUUUCAUACGAGAUCAAAAUAUAACUGGAAAUUUAUUUUUAAGAAGAAUUUUAUCUCGCAUUUUAUUCAUGAAGAAUGUUAUCUCAAAUUCUAGAGAUUGAAAUAAAUGCAUACUGGCUACUUGAAAGGAUGAUUCAGAGAAAUUUGGAAAUUGUAAUGAAACUUCAGAAAAAAAAAAGAAGAAGAAGAAAAGAAACUGGCUUGACUUACAAAUGGAUAGAGUUAAUAAUAUUCUUAAACGACAUUUUUUCACCAAAGAAUAAUAUAAAAAAAUAACACAGAAAAUAAUCUAAUACAAAAUCGGUUACUUCUCAAAUACGAAUAAAUUAAGGAAGAUAUAAUUUAAAAAAAUUCUACCUUUUAUAUUAGUAAAAAAAAUCUUUAAUUUACAAACAUUCAAAAUUGGUCGCUUUAACAAAAUUUUAAACGGGAAACUUCAUAUGUUCUCCAAAUCGAAUAUUUAGCAAAGACAAUAUAAUACAAUAAAAUGUAUUUCACUUUUCAGAUUUAACAGCGAAAAAAGAAGCCAGAAUGAAUUUAUAGCAAUAGAAAAUGAAUCAAAUUUUUAAUUAUUAUAUUAUUUGCAAUUAAAUGCCUUUCAAGCAAUAAGUACAACUGCAAUUAUUUUAUCUUUAAAAAUUUAGAUUAAAAGCUGCUUUCAGACUUUUCUUUAUAAUGAAAUAAUGUAAUUCUUUUGAAAAGAAAAAAAUAUUUCAGAUUUAUAGAAGAAGACAUAUUUAUUGCUGUUUAGAAAUUAGAUGUAGCAUUAUAUCGUUACAUGUAAAUGCGUAACAUAACUUUAUCCCGUAUAUUGAGCAAUGUUUACAUAAUUUUACAGACAUUGAAAAUACCAUUAGAAUAUUUUUUGAAGAACAGCAGUUAGUUCGUUAAAUCACAUAUAGCCAAAUUAGCGACUGAAUUUUGAAGAUUCAUAGAAAAACGCGAAUCUUUUAUAUGAAAAAUGAAAUCUAAAAUUUCAAACAGUGGGGAUUUCAAUUCAAAAAAGUAAAUUAUUAAAUGUAAUUUGUUAAGAUAGGAAUCAAAUAUAAAAACAGAAUUUUUGAAUAAUUAUGAUAUUGAUAAUGAGCAGCUCGAAGAAUUCAAAGAGAAUUUUAAAUACUGGUACCUCAACAUCGAUAAUUAUAUUCUUAAUAUUGUUUACAAAGUACACAAAAUUUCGAAAAUUUUCAAAUAAUAGUUCAGGCUAUUGAAAUAAUAAAUUUGAGUUUACAAGAGCAAGUUUUCAAUACUUAUUAAAAAGCAUUUGUUUACAUAUUUUGAUUGAAAGAUAAUUUUUAAUAUUUAAUUUAUUAAUUUAAAACAAUAAAAUUAACAAAAAAUAAAGUUUGAAUAAUAAAUUUCAAUAAAUCAAUUUUUAAAACAUGAAUCAAAUACAGAAAAAGUCUUUUCUUAAAUUUAAUACUAAUCGGAAUGCAGCUUAAAAAAUUCAAAAGAAAUUUUAAAUAUGGGAAUCGCGAUAUCCAAAAUUAUAUUAAUAUUCUUGAGUAACAAUAGAUAUUUCGUUCAAUCUCCCUAGAAUCUUCUGAAUUGAAACUAAGACUAAGAUUUAUGAAGCAAAAAAUUUCUAAUUCUAAAAAAAAGCAACAAACAAUCAUUAAAAGUGUAGUAAUAUUAAAUUCAAAAGUAAGGUUAUUAAAAAUAACAUUCGAUACCUAUUAAGAAAUAUUUGCUUACAUAUUUCAAAGAAAAUUCAAUUUUUAAAUCUUAGGAUCAGUUCCAUUUAAUACGAACUUUUAAGAUAGAAGGAGAAUUUUGAAAAAGAUGUUACCUGCGCCGCAUGCUACUCUCAACUACUGCUCGAAGAAUUCAGCUUUGAAUAUGGAAAUGAGCUUAUUUGAAUAUUGACGUCAAGAUCUGUGGACGGUUUAUUCAGGCAGCAGUGCUCUGAUUGGUUAAUUCCGAGUUAGCUAGGUCAGAAAGGGGAGUUAACAACACACGCAAAAAAAAAGUUUAGAAGCUGUUUGUGGCUUAAGGUUGUUUGAAGGGUAUAAGUAGCUCGAAAUAGAAGUUGAUCAUCAAUAAUGCAUGUUCAGUAUGAAAUCAGCAGUUCUGCAUGUUUGGUAUUAUUUAACAUACCCGAGAAAGAGGUCAUAUUGAUUUUGACAAGAUCUGAAGAAUUCUACGCAGCUAGCUUGAAAUAGAAAUUGAUCGUCAAUAAUGCAUAUUCAGUUUUAUAUCAGCUAUUCGGUGUAUUCAGCCAACAUUAUUCAAAUAUUGCCAGUUUUUGGAAGGUAUGUUACACUGAUGGUGGUGAGAUCUGAAUUCACUUUGCAUAAUUAGAAAUUUGCAAGCAACUCGUGACAAAAAUUUUUCUUCAGAAUUUUAUGAAAUUUGGAAAGAAGCAGAAUGAGAUGGAUUUUAUCUUUUUUAUAAAAAUGAUAUUCAUCAACGCAUAACUCAUCAUGUGAAACUGGUACUCUGUUCAAAUUUUACUGAAGAACGUAUCAUCAGCCAUGACCUGGUCAGCAAAAUUUCCGAAAUUGAACCCUUGCGAUUUAUGACUGAGAAGAUACUUCAGGAACUUAUACAACAUCUCUCUUCGACCUUAAAGACAAUAUGCACAGCCUGGAAUUCAAUUUUCAACGGUUUAUAAAGUUUGCACAUGUUAUUUUUUGCAGUAUUGGUUCCAGCUCUGAGCUUGUUGGGGCAUCAAUUUCGAAUCAUAAAUUGGAUAUCUCAUGCGUGUUAUAUGCCUGCCGACUAAAUACAAUAGAAAGCAUUAUUGCAGAUAAGGAAUAUAUUACAUAAAAAAAUAUGUGUGUGCUUUGAUUCUAUGAAAGUUAAGCAUAUGUACUGAACGGAAAGCCCCCUUUGUACAUAUAUGAUAUGUACAAUAAUUUCACACUGGACGCUGAAUAUUCUGGAACCAGCCUCGAUUCCUAAUACCCUUCCAAAUAGGAACGUAUCGAAAAUUUUGUGAAAAAUUUUGUGAAAAUGAAACUUUUAAAUUAUGUUAUUGAUUCACUUAUGCUGUAAAAUAUUUGUAAAUUUUGUAAUUUUUUGUUUUGUAUUUUGUUUAUACACUAUCUAAAUGUAGUUGUUGAACUAAUUUUUUGAAUGUACUGAAUAAAAUUCACAAUAUAGCAUUAUACUGGUCUACAAAAUUCAUGAAAUUCUGCUGAAUAGUUUUUGCUGCAGACUGUUCUCAAAUUUCAAAACGGAUGACCAAACUAAUCAAGUUAAAAUCUCAUAUAUAAUUAUUACAAAUAUAUGCAAAAAUUGAUGUUAGAAUGUGGCCUAAAAAUUGAUAUGUUCCAUCAAAUCUAAGAAAAUUUUGCCAAUAUUUUGAGAUAAUGUAAAAGUUGUUUUAAUUAUCUAAGAUUUUUUUUAUUUAACAGUAUAAUUACUUUAGAAAUGCGAUUGAUAUUCUUAAGUUUUAAAAAGACUAAUUCUUUCUACUUUUCUGUUACAGGAUGUUCACUCUAAUUCAAUAGCUUAUGUCUAAACUAUUAGCCUAACUAAUAUUUAUGUUAAUAGAAAGUGACAAAUUCUUCCAACUGAGUCAUUAACUAUACGGCCGAAAAAAUUACGAAGUCUAAAUUUUUAUGCAGUUUUCCUUUUUCUAUUAGCCAUAUUUAGUAAAAUAUUUUUGAACUUUUAAUUUUUUUAAACAAAAAGUUCCAUUCUCCUGCGACUGACACUGAUUGAGCUAUGAAGCUUUGAACAUCAUCAUUUAAAUCAUUUCAGUGCCCAUCUCACUAGCUUCGGGUGGCUGUUGGUUUCUUAAAAAUAAUUAAAAUCGAGUAUCGUAAAUCAGACAGUAUUUAUUAUAAAAGAGCGCAAUUUUUUUAUAAAAAAUAUUACAUUGUGAAGAAUAUUUUAUUCAGUAUGACCAACAGGAUAGAUAAUUCUAGGAAAGAAGCAGAUUCUCAGUAUUUCCCAAGUUAUAUUUUUGUUUGUAAAUAUUUGAAAGUCUAUGACACGCAAGACGUGUUGAUGUAGACAAUGUUAGUGGCACAAAGUAUUGUGCUAAUUUGUAAAAUAUUGUACAUUAUUAUUUUGAUUUUUCCUUUGUUGAAAAUAUGUAAUAUUUUAACCUUUCAAAUAUUAGAACUUGAAAUAUGCAUAUUUGCAAGAAUUGGGGAUGAAAAGAAAGAAAACGGAUUUUGUAACGUAAAAGUUUCGGUAAGCUCCCGAGUUAUUCAAAAAUUAAUCCUAAAAUUUUUAUAUCAGUGAAGCUCUUAGAGGCUCUUAGCCUUUUGACGGCGAAACUUAAUUCUUUAAAGAUUUAUUUUUGCUUACAGAGAAAAAAGUAAUAUUUAUUUGUCUGCACAAUAUCUAAAUUAUAUAUAUUCAAGGAUGCUCUAUAUUCUAACAUUAUAUCAUAUUCAUCAUAUAUAUAUAAUUAAUUUCUAAACUAUAUAGAUUUCUAAAACAAAAUUUGGGAAGAGGCAAUUAUCCUAGAUUGUAUAAAAUCGGAAAUAUCAGAAUUAUGACAGCAAAAGAAUCCAGACUGCAAUAUAAAUUGAUAAAAUAAAACAAUUCAAACCACAAUUCAAAUUGAGAAAAUAAAAUAAAAAAUCCGAGUUGAGCAAGCAAGAACAAUCCAAAUUACGAAGUUAAAAUAAAAUUCGGUUGCCUCAGAGAGCAGACGAUAAAUAAUUUAUGAAAAACAAAAAAUAACUUCACCUCUUCAAGUGCAAAAAGAAAGAAAAAAAAUGACGCUGAAGUAAGAUUAGCAUUU